rnacentral:rRNA from 1 species
GACGAACGCUGGCGGCGUGCUUAACACAUGCAAGUCGAACGGUGAAGCGCCUUCCUUUUUGGUGGGUGUGGAUGAGUGGCGAACGGGUGAGUAACACGUGAGUAACCUGCCCCCUUCUUCUGGAUAACCGCAUGAAAGUGUGGCUAAUACGGGAUAUUCUGGGUCUGUCGCAUGAUGGGUCUGGGAAAGAUAUUGUUUCGGUGGGGGAUGGGCUCGCGGCCUAUCAGCUUGUUGGUGGGGUGAUGGCCUACCAAGGCGGUGACGGGUAGCCGGCCUGAGAGGGUGGACGGUCACACUGGGACUGAGACACGGCCCAGACUCCUACGGGAGGCAGCAGUGGGGAAUAUUGCACAAUGGGCGCAAGCCUGAUGCAGCGACGCCGCGUGAGGGAUGGAGGCCUUCGGGUUGUGAACCUCUUCCGCCAGUGAAGCAGGCCUGCCUCGUUUGUGGGUGGGUUGACGGUAGCUGGAUAAGAGGCGCCGGCUAACUACGUG